GAGUGCGACCAGUUGAUACGCCUUCUUGGAAUUGCAAGGAGAAUGAGACGAGUCGACUUCUUUGUCGAAUCAUCUUUCGUCUAUUGUCUUUAUGGUAGAAUAUAAAAAAGAUAUUAAAAAAAAAAAACUAGAAGCAACGCGGAAAACUGAAGGAAGGCCGAAGUAGUUUGGAAGCUGAUAUUUUUGGUUCGAAUGGAAAUUUACAUUGUCUAUAUAAUUUAUAUUAAUAUGACGAGAAAUGACUUUUGACGCUCGAAAUGUUACGUAGACCUGCUGACUGAUAAAAGGUUUUAUAGUCUGCACUUGUACAUAAUACAAAUAUAAAAUUGAACGUUAUGGUAGUAUAAAACGGUAUUAAAUUUAUUAGAAUUUGCGAUAAUUUAUUCUACCAUUUUAUUAUUAUUAGCUUGUUAUUAUUAGAAUUAGGUCGAUAUAGAUUCUUGACAUCUCAGAGGGAAACUUUUCUAAAUAAUCAAACGAUGUUAAAAUCGAAUGGCGUGGUUUAAAAAACGGAUAUGCUGACGUGUGACAAAAAAGAAUGACGAUGACCUUGGAAUGGCUUCUAAGAUGACUUUGUGCUUCUUCCAUUUCUUCCAUCGUCAUCGAACGUAUGUAAAUCUUGAAAUUAUAUGAACUUUCCCUAGUUCUCUUUUCUUUUCUCCGCUAUCCAUAAUUCAAAUAUUCGUUUUACAAGUCGCCAUACAAGUCGUAACUCAUCGAACACCAAUUUUCAACUAAAUUUACCAAGAUAAUUUUAAGCAGACGUAUUUAAUAUAUAUCGAAUUCCUUUUUGGAAUAUUACGACAACGAUGACGAUAGUAACGACGAUAAUAGCGAAAACAAUGACGCUCGAAUAGGAACGGCAUUAGCAACGCGUCAAGUGCAUUAAUUGCAAAUCAUUCGUCGACCGUCCAUUGAUGUUGCUUUAAAGCGGCGCAUAUUAAAUCAGAAGCUCCGUUAAUUAUAUCUUUUGCCCCGGCGCAUUGUUUUCGCCCGGGAUAACGUUACCUCGUUGCAUUAUUUCUAUAUAAAUUGGCGCAACGAUGCUUGUUCAUUGGACAGCCGCGUGAUUGACAGCUGUUCGAAAUGUUAAUAAGCGUGUACAAUAUGUAACAACGAGCAAAUACGCUGGCCUGAUGGUAGAAAAUUACCAAGCGUUGGAAAAAAUUCGUUGCAUCACGGACUGCAGAAGAUCGUCGUACAAUAGACAGUGAAACGAGUAUAAGAGGUACAAAGAUCGAAUUUAUACAAAAAGUGCUAGAGCAAAGUAAUCAGAAAAUAUCUUCUCGAAGGAGAUGUAAUUGUACUGAAGAAAGAGCUGUGAUUUGAAACAAUUUCGUGGACCAGCCUGCAUAUUACAAGACUGACUGUUUUUAUCCUAUAAGAAAAAUGAUAUUUUAUUGAUCA